rnacentral:lncRNA from 10 species
CAUGCCUCCUAGGCUCCACCCUGCCUAGAAAGCCCCUCCCCACCACACCCCCUCAUCCUCAUCAUGCCAACUCAGCCUGCCCUCAGCAACCCCAGUCCACACGAGCCUGCCUCCAGGAAGCUUCCUGGACCUUUCUUCUGCCACCCCCCUCCACCGCAGGCAGACGAUACUCCCUCCACACCAUUUCCUCUGAGUCAACGACCAGCCCAGCGAGUGGCAUGGAGGAGCCCGGCUGAAUAACGUGAGAAGCAAAAGCCCUGACUACAGAAAACGCACUCCCCAUGGUAAUGGAUAAAUGAGCCCUGUGGGAUCUUCCUACGAGAGGCCAUUGCCACCCAGAGCCCCAGAGUCUCCAGGCUCCCAGUUCAGUCUCCACCGUGCAGCCCACAUCUUCAGGUCAGGGAAGUUUCUCUGGUUUACGGACCUCCAGCAGGAUCUCGGGCCCAGCCUCUGCUCUAAAGAUGCACAGAGGAAAAAGUGCUGGGCCAGGUCUCAAGGACCACCCAGGGCACCCGUCAACAGGUGAAGCCAAGCCGAGGAGAGGGCUGAGAAGGCACACACAAAGGCACAGGGAUGAGGAGCAGUGGAGUCUUCUGGGACUCCGAGAGCCCUGUGUGGUCAGAGCAUCAGCGGCAAGGCAGCAGGUCAGCAGAAGCAGGAUCACAUACCCAUAACCUCACUCCCUGGCUGGCUGGAAGUCGGCACGCUGGCCCCUCUGGGCAAGUUUCAUUGCUCACAUUUCAGUCCUGCAAAAAGCCUUUUUCAAUCACUGUCCGUGGCAACGAUAAACUUUAAUGGCUGAGGGAAAGCCUGCAGCUCAGGCGCUCUGUCCUUCCUGCCUCCCUGCCCCACACCAGCCAAACUCCCUCCCUUCUCUCUGCUGGGCCAGAGGCCGAAGCACAGGGGCCAAUAGAGUUGGGAGAGACAUCAUCCACCCCCACCUCACCUCCUUUAUUUUCCAACUUUGGUAGAUCGCAGGCUCUGGAGGCAUAGGAGAAACACCAGGGAAUCAAGAGAGGCCAAAACCCAGCCCAGUACAGAAGCAGACUCUCUGGGGUGGCUCCAGGGCACCAGCGUUUUAAAAAGCUCCCCAGUGGAUUCCAUCGGGCAGGGGGCGUUGAGAACAGCUGCGCCUCCUCCUGGAAAGCAGGCACAGGUUCAUGCUCAAGGAAUGAAGAAUGAGUGAAAGAAUAAAUCCAUGAAUGAUUUUACCUACAGUAACUGAUUCAGCCAUCUCAGUGUCCUACAGGUCACCCUGCAUCUCAAGUGGACAGAGACUCACCCACCUUGCACAGUACCCGCUCUGGAAAUGAAGGCAGGAUGUGAAAUAAAGGACCAGCGAGCUAAGUCUGACUCCAAGAGCCUGGCUAUUUUUUCUCAGGCAUCCUUAGCCAACCUGCCUGUGGUUAUGCCAAAGUCCAGGGAUCUAAGGCUGAGGGUCCUGGGGACAGUCAGUCAGAACUGACAGUGGGACUUUGUCUCUCUCAGUGAGGCCCAGGCCUGCCUGGGGGCUCUCAGGGGGAGGGUCACUAGCACCCAGAACCCACAAUCAAGAGGCUGGUGGACUGUUUAAAGAAACUGUCUGAAUUGCAAUUUUUUUUUUUUGAGAUGGAGUCUCACUCUGUCGCCCAAGCCUGAGUGUAGUGGCGUGAUCUCAGCUCACUGCAACCUUCGCCUCCUGGGUUCAAGCAAUUCUUCUAAGUGCCUGCCACUGUGCCCGGCUAAUUUUUGUAUUUUUACUAGAGAUCGUGUUUCACCAUGUUGUCCAGGCUGGUCUCGAACUCCUGACCUCAAGUAAUCCACCUGCCUCAGCCUCCCAAAGUGUUGGGAUUACAGGAAUGACCCACUGCGCCCGGCCCUGAAUUGCAUUAAAAAAAGUUUAUUCCCCCAUGUUGUCUGGCCCCAAAUCCUGCCAUGGAGAACUGGCUUCAAUAAAUGCCCCCUCUGCCAUUCAUCACUUGAGUCUCACUUCCCUCUCCUGCCUCAGCUCAUACCAUUUAUUACACCCACAGUCUCCAAAUGAACAACUUCUGCAACUUACAAACAUACUUGAGAGCUCCACCUGUCCUCCCCAAUCCAUCAAGGCAACAAAAUUCAUUUCUCCUUGGGAGCCUAAAGAAGCCCAGGCUUGGGGACUAAUUAAGCAUUUCCUUUGAAAUGCAUGCAUGCUGUAGAUUGCUGAGGGUGAACUCCAACCUCUAAUAAAAUAGGAACCAGAUGCCAGGAACAGGAGGUGCACAGCAUCCUGCUAUCAUGGCCAUCACCCAGGAGGGACCCGGCGAGGGGCAGCACAGCCUCUGGAGGGCUCUGGCUAAUGUCAAAGUUCAGGUUCACAGCACCAGCUGGAAUUUUUAUUUUGGCCAUCAUCUACAACAAGGAAUGAGUGCCUCCUGACACCCCCAUGAGCACACCAUACCUCCAGCCUUCAUUCCCCCUUCCCUCCUUAUUUUGCACACUCUGGGGAAUCUGGCUGGAGCUCUAAUUCUCCUGCAAAGCCUUCCUGAAAUACUCAAACCUUGAAGGGACUGUUUCCCCUCCCACUACACCCGAUGAGUACUGCAAAGAUACAGCCCUUGGCCACAGAGUGUCAAUUAUUAUAAUAUUAACCACCA